CUACGGGUGGCUGCAGUGGGGAAUAUUGGACAAUGGGCGAAAGCCUGAUCCAGCCAUGCCGCGUGUGUGAAGAAGGUCUUCGGAUUGUAAAGCACUUUAAGUUGGGAGGAAGGGCAGUAAGCGAAUACCUUGCUGUUUUGACGUUACCGACAGAAUAAGCACCGGCUAACUCUGUGCCAGCAGCCGCGGUAAUACAGAGGGUGCAAGCGUUAAUCGGAAUGACUGGGCGUAAAGCGCGCGUAGGUGGUUUGUUAAGUUGGAUGUGAAAGCCCCGGGCUCAACCUGGGAACUGCAUCCAAAACUGGCAAGCUAGAGUACAGUAGAGGGUGGUGGAAUUUCCUGUGUAGGGGUGAAAUGCGUAGAUAUAGGAAGGAACACCAGUGGCGAAGGCGACCACCUGGACUGAUACUGACACUGAGGUGCGAAAGCGUGGGGAGCAAACAGGAUUAGAUACCCCAGUAGUC
rnacentral:rRNA from 1 species